GAUGUUAAGACGGUCGCUAUACGCAUCCAAAGACA
rnacentral:tRNA from 1 species